rnacentral:rRNA from 1 species
UACGGAGGGUGCAAGCGUUGCUCGGAAUUAUUGGGCGUAAAGGGUAGGUAGGUGGUCUCAUUUGUCAGGGGUGAAAGCCUUGGGCUCAACCCAAGAAGUGCCCCUGAAACGGUGAGACUAGAGUCCUAGAGAGGUGAGUGGAAUUCCCGGUGUAGCGGUGAAAUGCGUAGAGAUCGGGAGGAACACCAGAGGCGAAGGCGGCUCACUGGAUAGGCACUGACACUCAACUACGAAAGCGUGGGGAGCAAACAG